CCUGGAAGAAUAACAACAAAAGGCAGCUAACACUGUGUAUGGAAUACAAACACUGAAAGAAAAGUGGUGAUGAAACUAGAACACAGAUCCAAAGGACAUGGAACAGAUUUGAAUUUCAUGGCACAAACUUCCCCUGACACUCAGAGACUCAGCCCUGAAUAUCAAGUACUUAAAAUUCAAGUAAUCAACAGGAAAAAAAAAAGGAACUAAGUUUCACACUUCUUUUCCUGUUGGAAAGUAAAAGUUAAGAAACAGAUGGUCUUUCGUCUUCUGCAUUAGAAGAUCAGGCCAUAUCCAGCUUGAAAAGCUUUACGGCAACCAUGGGACAGACUCUUCCAUGGGAGCCUGUUUAGCUCCCUAUGCUACUGUCUCUGGAAAAUUUUGUGUCACUUGCCUAGAGCAAAAGUAUGCUCUGAAGAAAGAACGUAUCUGCAGCCAUCUGCCUGGCUCCUGAGGGGCCUGGAUUUAUUUAGCUGAAGUUAAAUAGAAGAAGGGUAUCAGCAUGACUGGCUAACCAAAGCCAUUAUUUUGGAUUCUACUAUUAAGAGAUAGUAAUAUUAAUCUUUUCCACAAGAUUUGCCAAAUCU